CCCGCUGGGAUCCAGGCUGCAGAAUGAUGCCCACGUCUCGCUCCGGUUCAUCCCAUCCUCCUAUGGGACAGGGAAGGGAAAUGGCUGCAGAGGAUCCCGUUCAGGGUUUCCAGUUUCCAAACCUGAUGUGAUCUCGCAGCUGGAAUGAGG